CUCGAAGUUUAGCGAAGAACAUGUUAAAGUUAGUCCAAAACUUCGCUUUUAUGAAACUUUUUCGAAAUAGAAUGGCGAUGCAUUGUAGAAUGACAGGUUAGUAGUAAAUUUAGCUAUCUUUUAAACGUUUGUGAGUUGUUCUUGUUAAGUUAUAGUUGUUGUUUGAAACGCGUGUUAUGGCCGAAAUGCAUUGAAUUACUUCGCUUGUCGCUCGAGAGCUUCGUCCUCACUCAGUCGCUUCAUUUCCUUCGUAUUUCUGCCACAUUUUCUGCCAGUAAUAUUCAGAAACACCCCUGUUUUAUUUGCAGUUUCAGGGCAAAAAUUUGACGAGAUAGUUAACCGACUCAAGUUGCCGACUGGUCGAAGUCUCGAACCACGAGGUAAGCAUAAUGGCCAUGAUGGCUUUUCUUUCUUGUUUGUUUCUCGCUUUUUAAGCUUCCCUCGUACAACUUCAACACUUUAUAACAUUGUUGAAGCUUUAUAAACACUUUGAACUAAGUUUAGUUUAAAUUUUGUUGAACAUUUUGUCUGUAAGCGAGCGACAUGCAGACUCAUUUUAGGCAUGUUCAAUUCGACAUCAUGGCGCAUAUAUUUUCAAGCGUUCUAGCUUGUACAAACUUGUAGUUUAUGUACAUAUUGUACUCCGAAUGAAAAAGGCUAAGCUUUUUAAGUUUUUUAAGAUUGUCUAAGUUGAAUUUUACCGAAAUUUUUAACCAAAUUCAGGCAUCAAAUGGCCUCGUGGUCGUGUCCUGAUUAAAUGCAUGCACGAAUUCUUUCAAAUUAUAUUGAUAGAAAUAUUUAGUUUAGUUAGUGCGCUACACUCCCCUGUUCUUGAAAGCUCGUGUAUGUAAAGUUUGGUUGUUUGUCUUGUGUGCUUCUUUGCCUUGUAGGCGGUUUUUCUUCGGGUUUCUUCCCUCGCUUAAACGGAGUUUAAGAUGCACCACGCGGUCGGCUCAAUGACGCUGUUUUCUAAAUUUCAGCUCAAGUGAAUGAACGCUAAAGCAUUGGUUUACUGUAAAUGUUUGAAGCUUUUUCAAAUAACCUUACAAACGGCAAGGUUCGGCUAAAGCGAUGCAACAUUUGCUGAAAUUUUAACUUUAAGAAUUAAGAAGAAACCUUGUGGGUCGCAAUAAGUUUUCACGUUGGUUGAAAGACGUGAUAAUAUGCUUAGUUUAACGUUGUGAAAGAAUGACGAAGCCGUUCGGAAUACCCUAAGACAAGAAAUUAUUGACAGUUUCUGUCUGCCGGCCGCGUCGUGGACCUUAAACUCUCUAAAAACUAGUUGUCGACAACGUGUGUCGCGAGCCUUUGGUGAAUUGAGCGACCACACCCUAAGUUGUGUUGUCAAUAUUAAAUAACUUGAUUAUCAUCAUCAUCGACUUUGAAAUAUUUUAGAUUAAUAAGAGUUAAUUCUUUCAAAUCUUUUAGGCUGUCUCAAGGCAAAACACUAAAGAAAGGCCUCUGCACUUGGAAGAGACGCUCGCCUGAUAGUCUGAAGACAAUGACGGAAGGACAUGACAAAUGCCGAUCACACCAGCUAGUCAGCGCUAUAGACAUUGACUCGAUUCCUUUCCUAACCAUGAGCGUUCAUCGUCAGCUGUUAUUUGUCGGCCAAAUUUCACGGAGAUUGCUGCAACAGGAUUUCAGAUCACAACCAGUCCUGCACCAGAGACCAUAGUAGCGUACACCACAGCCCGACACAAAUCAUCAUUGGAUUUCAUUGAACGCUCCAAAUGCGACUGCGAUGCAAAGGUCUGUCAAACCACAACCAACUCUGUGCCACCAGAUACGCUAGUCAGAGACGCUAUAACCAAUGCAUCACACCAUAGGCUGAGACUAACGGAUGCCUACAGCAGUUGCAUAAGAAGAACGUCGUAUUGCACAAGGUAAUUUUUUCUGCGCUUUGCAAUGUGAUUUUGUAUUCUUUGUUUGCAAUCACGUGACUUUCAUCCAAAUGACGGGCAAUCAAACAACUUCUCCUAUCAGAAUGGUUGUAGCAAGAGAAACUGAACGCUAAUUCAACUUUUGAGUCUUAAACUGUCUCUAAUCAAAAUAGCCAUUUUGUGACUUAUGUAUACUUUGAUUUUUUUCAUUUCAGAUUCUCGACGAAAGUGCGUGAUUCUCGUUGAUCGUGUCCUCGAAAGUGCGUGAUUCUCGUCGUAAGGUACGUGUUUUCGAAAGUGCGUGAUUCUCGUUGUGCGUGUUCUCGAAAGUUCGUGGGGCCACCCUGAGGACGCCCAAAUGCACAAAACAUAUUUAAACGUGGCAUUUUUUCUAUAAUUUAGAAUUUUUUCCAAUUUUACACAUUUCUUGGUGUUUAUGAGAAGCUCUUUGAUGAAAUCGAAAAUUUUUGAAAUUCGGAAGGUUUCAUCUGGGAGUUUGUUUAUUUGAAAGAAAUUUGAAAUGAAAUUUUGAAGUUUACAUCACUUUGGUAUUUGGUUAAACGCUAGAUAAAAUCAUGCCAGAUGAAUGGCUGACCAUUCGUCGAGGUUCGGUGAAAUUUUGGCUCUGACUUUUCCCGACCUGCAGCCGAGUUUCUCCGAUCGAUUGUUACGAGUCAACUAGCACAGUUGUAAGACCUGGCCAUUCUUACAUCUCUGCUUUUUGUACGUGGCAUGAGAUUGGGAUAAUUCGUCUGCAGGCCUGGAAAAAUCGAGUCGAAAUGUAGCCAAGCCUUGAUUAGUGACCAGUUUUUCGACUGUAUGGCUUUAUCCAGCGUUUUGCUGUUAUCAAUUUGAUGCAGACUUUGGGAUUUCUGCUCAAAUUUUUUCCAUAUAAACAUUCUUUGGGGUUUAACUUUUUAGCAAUUUCAGAAUUUUUGACACGUUAAGGUGUUGCUCGCAGAUACCAUAAAUUUGUUUCUAAAAAUUCACAAAAAUUGACCAAAACGUCAUUUGUGAUGUCGGAUGGGAGGCCUAAUGGUAGUUGUGGAUAUUAUUGGAUUACUGUGGAUUAAUGGAUUAAUGUGAACAUUUAUGGAUUACUACGUACACCAUGGACUAAUGUGAACAUUUAUGGAUAAAUAUGAACAUUUACGGAUAAACAUUUAUCAACGGUUACCACCAGAUAUACGGCGAUAACGAAGCUACUCGACGGUUAAAGAGAUGUCUGUCUCGAGGUUAGAGGGUUUUGAUUGUUAGCUUGUUAACAGGUUGUAGUUAGUUAGCCUGUUAACAGGCAGUGUGGUAGUUAGCCUGCUAACAGGCUGUAGUAUUUGGCCUGCUAACAGGCGGUGUUUCGGUUGAAUUUUGUACCCAGGACUUAAGUAUGCAUGUGUUCGGUAAAAUCUCUGGGUCAAAAUGAUUUAAAAUUCCUGGCGGUCUAUCGUUAGCAGUACAUUUCCACGCAAGGUUGAUUUUCCGUUCAGAUGCAAAAACAUUCAG